rnacentral:lncRNA from 1 species
CACAUCUUCAAACUGUAAUUAACAUUAGCUCGUAACUGCCCUGGAUGCUCUGUGCCAGAUGUCACUUGACUUAAGGCUCCUUUAUGCUGCCAGACUGCAAAGAGCAUUUAUGGUAAUGGUAAACUGGAAUUAUAACAUCCAGAAUAGCCCUUAGUUACACAGAUAGCACCACCUAACAGCUAAGAGCCAUGUAAUUUGUUUUGGAAGAGUGACUCUAGGUAACACAAGUACCUUUCUUCGUAAAUCAUUAACCCAGUACUCAGAGAUUGUUCUGCUCUCUGUUCCUGUGUUUAUUAUCUCCAUUUUGUACUGCAUAAUUCUGCCAGAAUGUACUUUUAUCACCUUGGUUUUGGACUUUAGUUUUGCUAUCUUUUGCUUUGCAAAUGGAAGAAAACUAGAAUUAAUGUGCAACAUUUCUGGUUACAAAUUAAUUAUGAAAAUUCAUUGCAAAUACAAGGCAAUACCAGAAAGAAAGGAAUCUUUCCUCUGUGUGUGAAACUUCCAAAAUCAAUAUUAUCUGGAUGGUCAACAUUACAUGAAGAAAGGAGAAAGCAUGGAGAAGAAGUACAGGAAAAAACAGAGUAUCAAGUAUCAUGAUGGAAAGAAAAAUAUUAUCCUGAUGUCACACAAGAACUUGUGUUCCCAGAUCACACAAUGAAAUGCCUCUGCAGGGAUGGACUGAAAGAAGCUUUUUUCCCAGAUGGCACAGUAGUAAAAUUAGAAAAGAGUGGAGAUAAACUGGUGGUAUUCAGUGAUGGCCAAAGGGAGAUUCACACUGCCCAGUUCAAGAGGAGGGAGCAGCCAGAUGUCACCAUGAAAACUGUUCUGCAACGACAGACAGGAAACAAAGUACUGCACUGGACAAGUCCAAAUCGAAGAUGAGGAGGGUAAUCUCAUCCUGGAUAAGAUGUGAUUCCUCCCUGCAGAAGGCUGUGGGGCUCAGACAAUCAACAAAUCACCACUCAAAUUGCAGGGCAUCUUUCAAAGAAAGCAAGAAGCAUUGCUGAUCUUGAUCAUACACACACUUCAGUUUAUCAAUUUAAUUAUGAAGCUGUGAGAAGUUUGAUAUCAGCUGGUGUAAUGAUAAAAUUGUAUUGUUUUUCCUUAACUGCUUCAUAGCAGUCCUGCUUUCAACAACUGAAUAAGUUAAUAUAUUUUAUUUGUUUUGUAAAAGCAAAAUCUAACUAAAAUAAAAUCAAAACAUUCUUCUCCA